AAAUUGAAGAGUUUGAUCAUGGCUCAGAUUGAACGCUGGCGGCAGGCCUAACACAUGCAAGUCGAACGGUAACAGGAAGCAGCUUGCUGCUUUGCUGACGAGUGGCGGACGGGUGAGUAAUGUCUGGGAAACUGCCUGAUGGAGGGGGAUAACUACUGGAAACGGUGGCUAAUACCGCAUAACGUCGCAAGACCAAAGAGGGGGACCUUCGGGCCUCUUGCCAUCAGAUGUGCCCAGAUGGGAUUAGCUUGUUGGUGAGGUAACGGCUCACCAAGGCGACGAUCCCUAGCUGGUCUGAGAGGAUGACCAGCCACACUGGAACUGAGACACGGUCCAGACUCCUACGGGAGGCAGCAGUGGGGAAUAUUGCACAAUGGGCGCAAGCCUGAUGCAGCCAUGCCGCGUGUAUGAAGAAGGCCUUCGGGUUGUAAAGUACUUUCAGCGGGGAGGAAGGUGUUGCGGUUAAUAACCGCAGCAAUUGACGUUACCCGCAGAAGAAGCACCGGCUAACUCCGUGCCAGCAGCCGCGGUAAUACGGAGGGUGCAAGCGUUAAUCGGAAUUACUGGGCGUAAAGCGCACGCAGGCGGUCUGUCAAGUCGGAUGUGAAAUCCCCGGGCUCAACCUGGGAACUGCAUUCGAAACUGGCAGGCUUGAGUCUUGUAGAGGGGGGUAGAAUUCCAGGUGUAGCGGUGAAAUGCGUAGAGAUCUGGAGGAAUACCGGUGGCGAAGGCGGCCCCCUGGACAAAGACUGACGCUCAGGUGCGAAAGCGUGGGGAGCAAACAGGAUUAGAUACCCUGGUAGUCCACGCCGUAAACGAUGUCUACUUGGAGGUUGUGCCCUUGAGGCGUGGCUUCCGGAGCUAACGCGUUAAGUAGACCGCCUGGGGAGUACGGCCGCAAGGUUAAAACUCAAAUGAAUUGACGGGGGCCCGCACAAGCGGUGGAGCAUGUGGUUUAAUUCGAUGCAACGCGAAGAACCUUACCUGGUCUUGACAUCCAC
rnacentral:rRNA from 1 species